AGCUGUCACCUGGGUUCUGUAACC
rnacentral:miRNA from 18 species